ACAAUGGAUCCGCUCCAUACACGGGGGGCAAAGAUCGAGCUGGUCCGCAGGUGGCGGGGUGGUCUUGAGAGGAGAGGAGAGGAGGAGGAGGAGGGGAGGUCCUUCGCGUUCCCCUUCCAUGCAUGCAUGCUCGGGCCAUCUGUAGUAAGUGGGCCUCGACGAUUUGA
rnacentral:rRNA from 1 species